rnacentral:tRNA from 1 species
UGGGGAUUAGCUCAGUUGGUAGAGCGGGUGACUGUUAAUCACCUCGUCGCAGGUUCGAUCCCUGCAUCCCCAG